GUUUCACACUCUCUGUGAUCAGCAGUCUAGUGAGAAUAUCUCCACCUAGACUGGAGAUAUUCUCACUAGACUGCUGAUCACAGAGAGUGUGAAUC